rnacentral:rRNA from 1 species
UACGUAGGGUGCAAGCGUUAAUCGGAAUUACUGGGCGUAAAGCGUGCGCAGGCGGUUGGGCAAGACCGAUGUGAAAGCCCCGGGCUUAACCUGGGAAUGGCAUUGGUGACUGCACGGCUAGGGUGUGUCAGAGGGGGGUAGAAUUCCACGUGUAGCAGUGAAAUGCGUAGAGAUGUGGAGGAAUACCGAUGGCGAAGGCAGCCCCCUGGGAUAACACUGACGCUCAUGCACGAAAGCGUGGGGAGCAAACAGG